rnacentral:rRNA from 1 species
GACGAACGCUGGCGGCGUGCUUAACACAUGCAAGUCGAACGAAGAGCGAUGGAAGCUUGCUUCUAUCAAUCUUAGUGGCGAACGGGUGAGUAACGCGUAAUCAACCUGCCCUUCAGAGGGGGACAACAGUUGGAAACGACUGCUAAUACCGCAUACGAUCUAAACUCGGCAUCGAGGAUAGAUGAAAGGUGGCCUCUACAUGUAAGCUAUCACUGAAGGAGGGGAUUGCGUCUGAUUAGCUAGUUGGAGGGGUAACGGCCCACCAAGGCGAUGAUCAGUAGCCGGUCUGAGAGGAUGAACGGCCACUUUGGGACUGAGACACGGCCCAGACUCCUACGGGAGGCAGCAGUGGGGAAUCUUCCGCAAUGGACGAAAGUCUGACGGAGCAACGCCGCGUGAAUGAUGACGGCCGUCGGGUUGUAAAGCUCUGUUAAUCGGGACGAAAGGCCUUCUUGCGAAUAGUGAGAAGGAUUGACGGUACCGGAAUAGAAAGCCACGGCUAACUACGUG